rnacentral:rRNA from 1 species
GAGUUUGAUCUUGGCUCAGGAUGAACGCUGGCGGCGUGCCUAAUACAUGCAAGUCGAGCGAACGGACGAGAAGCUUGCUUCUCUGAUGUUAGCGGCGGACGGGUGAGUAACACGUGGAUAACCUACCUAUAAGACUGGGAUAACUUCGGGAAACCGGAGCUAAUACCGGAUAAUAUUUUGAACCGCAUGGUUCAAAAGUGAAAGACGGUCUUGCUGUCACUUAUAGAUGGAUCCGCGCUGCAUUAGCUAGUUGGUAAGGUAACGGCUUACCAAGGCAACGAUGCAUAGCCGACCUGAGAGGGUGAUCGGCCACACUGGAACUGAGACACGGUCCAGACUCCUACGGGAGGCAGCAGUAGGGAAUCUUCCGCAAUGGGCGAAAAGCCUGACGGAGCAACGCCGCGUGAGUGAUGAAGGUCUUCGGAUCGUAAAACUCUGUUAUUAGGGAAGAACAUAUGUGUAAGUAACUGUGCACAUCUUGACGGUACCUAAU